rnacentral:rRNA from 1 species
CCAGACUCCUACGGGAGGCAGCAGUGAGGAAUAUUGGUCAAUGGGCGCAAGCCUGAACCAGCCAAGUCGCGUGAGGGAUGACGGUCCUAUGGAUUGUAAACCUCUUUUGUCGGGGAGCAAGGCCCGCCACGUGUGGCGGGAAGGAGAGUACCCGAAGAAAAAGCAUCGGCUAACUCCGUGCCAGCAGCCGCGGUAAUACGUAGGGAGCGAGCGUUGUCCGGAAUUACUGGGUGUAAAGGGAGCGUAGGCGGGCUUGUAAGUUGAAUGUCUAAUCCACCGGCUCAACCGGUGAUCGCGUUCAAAACUGCAGGUCUUGAGUGAAGUAGAGGCAGGCGGAAUUCCUAGUGUAGCGGUGAAAUGCGUAGAUAUUAGGAGGAACACCAGUGGCGAAGGCGGCCUGCUGGGCUUUAACUGACGCUGAGGCUCGAAAGCGUGGGGAGCAAACAGGAUUAGAUACCCCCGUA